GGAAUAGAUUCCCGGGUAGUCCCAGCUGUAAACUAUGCAAACUCGGUGAUGCAUUGGCUUGUGGCCAAUGCAGUGCCGCAGGGAAGCCGUUAAGUUUGCCGCCUGGGAAGUACGUACGCAAGUAUGAAACUUAAAGGAAUUGGCGGGGGAGCACCACAAGGGGUGAAGCCUGCGGUUCAAUUGGAGUCAACGCC
rnacentral:rRNA from 1 species